GAUGAACGCUAGCGGCAGGCCUAAUACACGCAAGUCGAACGGCAGCGGGUGUAGCAAUACAUGCCGGCGAGUGGCGCACGGGUGCGUAACGCGUAUGCAACCUACCCAUAACUGGGGGAUAGCCCGGAGAAAUUCGGAUUAAUACCCCAUAAUAUAUUGAUGUGGCAUCACAUUAUUAUUAAAGCUCAGGCGGUUAUGGAUGGGCAUGCGUGACAUUAGUUUGUUGGUGAGGUAACGGCUCACCAAGACUACGAUGUCUAGGGGUUCUGAGAGGGUGAUCCCCCACACUGGUACUGAGACACGGACCAGACUCCUACGGGAGGCAGCAGUAAGGAAUAUUGGUCAAUGGGGGCAACCCUGAACCAGCCAUGCCGCGUGCAGGAAGACGGCCCUACGGGUUGUAAACUGCUUUUAUACCGGAAUAAUUCCCAGUACGUGUACUGGGUUGAAUGUACGGUAAGAAUAAGGAUCGGCUAACUCCGUGCCAGCAGCCGCAGUAACAC
rnacentral:rRNA from 1 species